rnacentral:lncRNA from 12 species
UGGCAAUACACUGUAUAAAAGACUGAGGUAAGUACUGGCUCACCUUUUUCUGAUAAUCUCAAAUCCUAGGUUAUGGAGGUUUUUAUUUUGGUGCAAUUUGCUCCAACUUGAGCAUUCUUUAAUUUAUUUAUUUUUUUAUAACAUUUUUUAUAUUAUCAGUUGUGAACAUUUUAAUCAGGAUAUAUUAGUACGACUUCUAGAGCUUUGCUUAGGCUGCAUUUGUCAGUGCGAGAGUGUGUUGUCAUGUGUGUUAGAGAAUAAAACUUUCAGGAUAUGACCUAUUGUUCUGAGAUAAUGUGCGAUGUAAUGUUCUCCAGCUCUCUUGGACAAAGCACGGUUAACGAAAAAGCCCCAUCGCCGCAGGCUACAAGAAGCGCCAAGAAACCGCACCUGCCAAAGACAGACUCCAUCACGAGAGCCAUAUCAGAGGUCACGUACCCAGUGGUACAUAUGCACCAGUAUGCAGGUGGCUUUAUGAAGAUCAUCUCCCUCCCUCCUGUUUCCCAGUGGAAAUGGAUGUCCAUUAAAGAUGACAUCACACAGGCACUACAACAGCCAUGAGCAGCUGUGGCCCAUAAGAGAGGCUCAGCUAUCCUGUAAUGUCUCAUAGAAGUCUUGCAGACUCAUGCACACACACACACACACACACACAGCAAUGUCAUGGCUAUGGGGAAAACAAAUGGCACAGCUCACCUAACACACCAAUAGAGAGAAGUGAUUAUAACAGCACUCACACAAACCAUAGGUUAGAAAAAUCACUCUCUUUACUGUAUAGGAGAAAACAAAUUAUAUUAAAUCAAGACUUUUGCUCCAUAUAUUCUCUGUUUUUUCUCCUGUGAAACAGACGCAGAGUAAAAAUCUCAUGUGUCUACUCAAUAGCUGAUGCAGGUUAUGUCUUAAACUGUGCUCAGAUUUGCACCAAACACCAAAGUCUGCAAUCAUAAGACAGAGAUUUUCAAUUAAACACACACAUUUCUCAGCAAAUUCUUAAAAGACCAAUUUGUGUGUGUGUGUUAUUUGUGUCUGUUUUUAUUUUAUUUAAUUUUUAAGGAAUUAUAGGAAGACAAAGUUGAUAAUUCAAUGAUACUGUACAGUACAUAACUGAGAACUAGAGAUGUACCAAUGUUUAGAAUUCUACAUAAUACAGAUAAACCUUAAUAAUAAUAAUAAUAAUAUAAUUCAAUGCUAAUAUUAUAAAAAAUAAAAAUCGGCUGUUUUAAAUUCUACAAGUGAAUUUAUGCAUCAUUUGGGCAUUGUACAGUAUGAAAAAGAGGUUCAUUUUUAGUUUUGCUAAAGAUUACAUUUUUAUUAUUACGUUUCAACUCUUUGUGUUUUAAAAGAUUAUGUAAGCUUUAGAUGAUGGCAAAGGUAAACUAAAAGUAAAAAUAGCUUAAAUAAACAUGCAAUUAAAUAUCACUGUAAAAAAAAAUCUGUACAAAU